UUUGCCAUCAAAAAGUAUGAGCUGAAAAUUUCCCGCCCCCGGUUUUCGCUUGGCGCCUCGCAUACCAUUGCCGGAAUCUUUCUUAUCCAUAACCAGAAUCUCCGCUACCCACCGCCACCUGCCUUCGCCAAAACCACUUCUAUCACCUUCACCUAAUGCUGGGACGGGAAUAAUCUCUUCUCCAUUGAAGAUUUGGACAGAUUAUCUAAGCAGGAUUUCGGUUUGGAGAGUUGCCGCUUCUCAGGAUUGACUUAAUUGGAGAAGACUAGAAUAAUGAGCAAGUUUCAAGUUGCUGCUAUUUAUUGAAUUUAUUUCUGUUAAGUGCUGCAAUUUGUCCUUCUUGUUUGGUGAAGUCAUGUUAUACCAUUCUUGCAAAUUUAUCACUUGCGGAUUUUCUCAUGUUUUAAUCUCUGAUCUUUUGCUUCUUGGAUGCCUUCUAGCUGCAACAUCAUUCUUGUUCUGAUUUAUCGUAGUUUUGGAGGCAAUUCUAUCCUCCAUUGGGUUCUACCAUUAUUUUUGUUUUUCAUAUAAUAACUUCAAAUUUCUGAAAGAAUGAUGAAAGCAAGAUAGAUGUUUAGAGUGUUAAUUUAUUUCCUAAUCACACACAUCUCUCUAACAGCUCCAUAUUAUAAGGCUUGAAAAGUUAUAAUACUAUGAAUAAACUAAAUGUAACAAUUCCCUUGUUAUAGUGUUCCAUUUUAGUGAAUCUAAAUGACAAUGUAUGACAAAAUCUGUCUCUUGUGUGAUUGUCCUCUGUUUUGCAACAGAUUCUACAAGUACUAGAAUACCAGUAAAUGUAGUUUCUUUUAAGUUCUUGUUGUUGACUAAUUAAGGGAUGAUAAACCCAAUCAUGACUUGAUUUGGAUCCACAUUUUGUAGACUAAAUUCUGUAAUGAAAGUUAUUUUGUUAAUUUCCUGAUA